GGGUUAGGGAAACCACAACUGCAAAAAGACCUAAAAAUAGAGGAAAAAUUACAACAACAAAAAGCUAAAUACAAAAAAACACACCAUAAUAUCACCAAGAAGAAUGAGCAGACCAAACCUCUGGAAAUUUUUUGAACCCCCCACCCCAAUCACUCAAAGGCAUUUUAAAUUGGCAAGGGACAGCAAGAUCAACAAGAGUUACCAAGAAGAAUGAUCAGAUCAAACCUCUGCCCCCCCUCAGAAUCGAAGGGAACCUGCACCCACCCCAAUAACAAAGAAACAUCACCAACCGCGAGACCUGUUGCAAUUUCCUAUUCACAUAUACUCAAAACCUCGGUUCGUAAAACCGUGGCUGGCAAGAGAUGACUGUACUGGGAAUUAAACAGAGUUAGGAGGCUUUUCAAAAGAGAGAAAAUAGAGAUAAAUUUGAUGUAAAGAAGAAAAAAUUAAAAAAUUGAGGCUUUAAGAAAAGGUGCUCUAUCAGCACAGCCCCUCCAUUUUUCUCAGAAGAAACACCAGUGCAUAUUGGAUAUAUCUAAGUAUCCCAGAAAUCUACUGUAAAGUAGAACUUUUUAGCACGGAGAUCAUGCUAGUUAAGCUCCAAUGCGCAGGGCAAACCUGAAUCAUGUAUGGAGUGCUCCUUGAUAUCUCACAUGGACUUCAACAUAAAUCCUCCUGAUGACACACCUGCCCUUCUUGGUGAAGCAAAGUAAAAUCACUGUCCAGGAAUGGCCCAGGUGAGAUCUGAUUUGUUUGGUUGCUUACAGAUUUUAUUAAAUGCUUGUUAAAUUUUGCUGGCUCAUUUUACUUUGAAAAUUGCCAUUGUCCCCAAAUAUAGAGCUGUAGUAACCAAGUGACAAGCCUAGCAACUGCCUUGAAUGUCGACCGGGUUUGUAGUUCAAGCAAGGUCCAUACCACCAUAACACAUCCCACUUCCACGAUAGUAUAUGCAAGAGUCUUGAAUGGUGUGAAAAUGCUUUGUCUGGGCCUCAAAAUAGAAAAUGCAAAGUGCAGCAGCAGACCGAUGCAGGUGGUAUGAAUUACUUCAGCCUGUUGGAUAGCACUGGGUUCUUCCUACAAUGUUAGUGUGAAUGUGGAAGUACUCAGUGAGAAUAGUGUAGCCAAUCCAGCUUCUGUAGAUGUAAAAGAAGUAGACAGCUCAAUCUCCAGCAAGAUGUCAGACUACUAAUAGAGGAGGAACCCCAACCAACCACACUCCUCAAUAGUACUUCCGGCCCUGUAUUGGGGCCAAAACCAUCAUUUCUCAAAAACUUUUGUUGAAAGAUAUAUUGUAUUCAACAACCGGUGAGUCACCAAACUCAGCUUGGCACCCCUUCAAGAAGGCACCCUAGGUUACCAUCCAGCUUGCCUCUGAGGUUGGCCCUGUGCAUGAGCGAAUGUGCCAUUUCAGAUCUAACACCACAGGUAGGGUUUCAUAUCACCUCAAACAUGAAGCUUCUCAGUGUAGUAAGUUUACACUUUCCACUGCUAGUCAUCAAGGGCUAGUUCAUGCAUGCAUGUGUAUAAUUUAGCUGUUUACUUAUUUACGUAAAGCAUUUUAAUCCCACUUUUCAGCCAACCAGGCUUCCAGAAUAACUUCCAUGUUAUGGCAACAUCAGUGUUGGUUUGCAUGUUUUAUGUUAUACCACAGACAGAACACCACAGAUAGAACUUUUGUAGCACCUCAGACAUGAAGCUUUUCAGUGGAAUUGGUUCAAACAUUGGUUGCUGACAUCAACUGUACAGUAAUCUAGUGCAGAGAAAUCAAGUGAUGUGAACCAGUCCUGAGUGCAUGGUAAUCAACUGUAGAGAAAUCAAGUGAUGCAUACAGUAUGCUUGUAUGAACCUCCAUUUAAAUAUUUGAAAACUGUACCUCUUUUAAUCUCUUCUUCUCAGACUCUACACACAUCCAGAUGCCAGAAAAAGCUUUACCUGCUAAAUUUCUGUGUGCCCAUUUGUUGUUAAGGUCAUAGGAGCAGGGAAAAGGAGACAUUUCAUUUGGAAAUCAUCUUUGCCAGGACGCAUUAUUAUAUAAACAAGAGGAGUUAGACACAGAGCGUUGGGCAUUCUUCUCAAAAACAUGCACUGAUUUCUUGAAUAUAUAAAAUCAUCCAAGGGGCAGAGAUGAAAUGGGUAGAUGCUGGAGAAUACGUAGCUGAGAGGGCAUGAAUAUAGAAGUUGAGAACUCUUGGAAGGAGAAUGCCUGGUUGACAUGCUGCCAAGUUCUCAGCAGCCAGCCUGAAUCUACCUUGAAGAGAAUAACAACUAUAUGGAGACUCAAUAGCUCAGGAAUUGGUUAGGGAAAACACAGGAAUUCACAUUUAUAUAUCAUCCAGACAAAUCCUACUGAAACUGGCAACUGAUGCACUGUUAUUUCAAGAAGCUACUUUAGUGGCAAUUGUGCUUGGUCACACUUUCUCUCCAAAGAAUGUUUCCCACAAAUGUAACAAUGAGAGGAAACACCAACGAGCUUUGUGCAGGGAGUUAUAUACAGAGAGGAUGCCUGCCCCAAAGUCACCGAAUGUGCUUCAUGGAAGAAUGAUGGUUGAAACGGAGUCUCCCCAAUCUAAGUCCAGCACUCUAUACAGCACUGAAGGAGAAGGCCUGUUCCAAUUAUUUAUCUUAACUUAGAAACACAUUUUUAAAAAAUAAGUAUAGUUUACAGUUUAUUUAAUGGAUAACAAAUAGAGCCAGGUUAGCUAGCUCUGUUUAGUUACAUUGACCUCAGGGAGGCCUACUGUAUUAGAAACUAAUAACUGGAAAGUUAUUUACAUAGACAGUUUACUGGGGACUGGGUAAAUUGCAGGAAGAUAAAAAUUUUGUUUUUCCUGAUGCCUAACAUUAAAGUUUGGUGUUCUAUUUUCUUGUCAAACCCCAGUGGAAAACAUGCUUUUACGAUGAAAGUAAUCCAACUAGAUAUCUUCACAAUCUUAAUAGGCAAAGUGGAUUGACCUCAGUUCAUCUUCAUGGAGCUUAGAACAAAUUGAUCAAUUUACUUUCUAAAUAAUUACCAUUUGAAUGUUGAUUUUCUUUUUCCUAGGAUUAACACUUUAAAAAGCUUGUAUCCAGGAAUUUUAAUUCAGUGCAGCCACAGUGAAGAGAGAGAGAGAGAGAGGACUCUACUGAUUCUUUGUAAUGAAGAUUUAUAUAUCCCAGUCAUGGAUGGAAAAUUCAGGGUCAAUUUACAAGAGACACAUUUUCUACAUGGGAGUUUCUUCUGUGCAGGUGUUGUGCAGAAACCCAUGUGUAGUGACCGCCGGGGGAAUAGCAAGGUUGGAAUGGGCCAAGAUGAGAUUUUAAAAUGGGCCCCCAGCCCCUCAAAGCCCAGGGCCUCCACACACCCCAGGCCCCCAAGGAUUUACGUCUGAUAUUUCAAAAUAGGUAUGCUGCUUGGAAAUACAUUUCACUGAAUACACACACACACACACACACACACACACUUCACAGUAUAUAGUGAUAUACAUUGAGUACUAUAUAUUUGUGCUACUUUUAAUGCAUAGAACACAGUGUAGCAACGCUAAUUAUUAAAAUGGCCCCCUCGCUGCAGAUUAGCAAAGGAGACUUUCAACCAUGCAGGGUGAGCCUAUGUUUGUUUUUUCAGAAUUCUGAACAAAUUCAGUAAAGUUUGAUUCCGGGAGGUUUUUCACACGAGGCUUUUAAAGCGCUUUAACACACAUCUCCUCUGGAAUGGAGGUGCUGCAUUCACAUGUUGGCCAGAUGCACCCUGAAGUCCCUGCAAGUUACUGGAGAGCAGUUCACACACAAGAAAAAUACAAUACAAUACAAUACAAUAAAAGCACAACACAUGCUUCACAGUUCUCACUCAGAC